AUACAUGCAAGUCGAGCGGACAGAAGGGAGCUUGCUCCCGGAUGUUAGCGGCGGACGGGUGAGUAACACGUGGGUAACCUGCCUGUAAGACUGGGAUAACUCCGGGAAACCGGAGCUAAUACCGGAUAGUUCCUUGAACCGCAUGGUUCAAGGAUGAAAGACGGUUUCGGCUGUCACUUACAGAUGGACCCGCGGCGCAUUAGCUAGUUGGUGAGGUAACGGCUCACCAAGGCGACGAUGCGUAGCCGACCUGAGAGGGUGAUCGGCCACACUGGGACUGAGACACGGCCCAGACUCCUACGGGAGGCAGCAGUAGGGAAUCUUCCGCAAUGGACGAAAGUCUGACGGAGCAACGCCGCGUGAGUGAUGAAGGUUUUCGGAUCGUAAAGCUCUGUUGUUAGGGAAGAACAAGUGCAAGAGUAACUGCUUGCACCUUGACGGUACCUAACCAGAAAGCCACGGCUAACUACGUGCCAGCAGCCGCGGUAAUACGUAGGUGGCAAGCGUUGUCCGGAAUUAUUGGGCGUAAAGGGCUCGCAGGCGGUUUCUUAAGUCUGAUGUGAAAGCCCCCGGCUCAACCGGGGAGGGUCAUUGGAAACUGGGAAACUUGAGUGCAGAAGAGGAGAGUGGAAUUCCACGUGUAGCGGUGAAAUGCGUAGAGAUGUGGAGGAACACCAGUGGCGAAGGCGACUCUCUGGUCUGUAACUGACGCUGAGGAGCGAAAGCGUGGGGAGCGAACAGGAUUAGAUACCCUGGUAGUCCACGCCGUAAACGAUGAGUGCUAAGUGUUAGGGGGUUUCCGCCCCUUAGUGCUGCAGCUAACGCAUUAAGCACUCCGCCUGGGGAGUACGGUCGCAAGACUGAAACUCAAAGGAAUUGACGGGGGCCCGCACAAGCGGUGGAGCAUGUGGUUUAAUUCGAAGCAACGCGAAGAACCUUACCAGGUCUUGACAUCCUCUGACAACCCUAGAGAUAGGGCUUUCCCUUCGGGGACAGAGUGACAGGUGGUGCAUGGUUGUCGUCAGCUCGUGUCGUGAGAUGUUGGGUUAAGUCCCGCAACGAGCGCAACCCUUGAUCUUAGUUGCCAGCAUUCAGUUGGGCACUCUAAGGUGACUGCCGGUGACAAACCGGAGGAAGGUGGGGAUGACGUCAAAUCAUCAUGCCCCUUAUGACCUGGGCUACACACGUGCUACAAUGGACAGAACAAAGGGCUGCGAGACCGCAAGGUUUAGCCAAUCCCACAAAUCUGUUCUCAGUUCG
rnacentral:rRNA from 1 species